rnacentral:rRNA from 1 species
AUACGGAGGGUGCAAGCGUUGUCCGGAUUUAUUGGGUUUAAAGGGUGCGUAGGCGGCCCGGUAAGUCAGUGGUGAAAGGUAUCAGCUCAACUGAUGAAUUGCCAUUGAAACUAACGGGCUUGAGUACAGACGAGGUAGGCGGAAUUUAUGGUGUAGCGGUGAAAUGCAUAGAUACCAUAAAGAACACCGAUAGCGAAGGCAGCUUACUAGACUGUCACUGACGCUGAGGCACGAAAGCGUGGGGAGCAAACAGGAUUAGAUACCCCGGUAGUCC